rnacentral:rRNA from 1 species
AUAUCAAUAAGCGGAGGAAAAGAAACCAACCGGGAUUGCCCUAGUAACGGCGAGUGAAGCGGCAACAGCUCAAAUUUGAAAUCUGGUCUCCUUGAGACCCGAGUUGUAAUUUGUAGAGGAUGUUUCGGGUUCGGCGGCGGUUUAAGUCCCUUGGAACAGGGUGUCAUAGAGGGUGAGAAUCCCGUAUGCGACCGGCGGUCAACCCCAAUGUGAAACUCCUUCGACGAGUCGAGUUGUUUGGGAAUGCAGCUCUAAAUGGGUGGUAAAUUUCAUCUAAAGCUAAAUAUCGGCCGGAGACCGAUAGCGCACAAGUAGAGUGAUCGAAAGAUGAAAAGCACUUUGGAAAGAGAGUUAAAAAGUACGUGAAAUUGUUGAAAGGGAAGCGCUCGCAACCAGACCUGCCCGUGGGCGAUCAGCGGCGGUUCUCCGCCGUGCACUCGUCUGCGAUCAGGCCAGCAUCGGUCUGGGCGGUCGGAUAAAGGCCCUUGGAAUGUAGCUCCCUCUCGGGGGAGUGUUAUAGCCUCGGGUGCAAUGCGGCCAGCCUGGACCGAGGACCGCGCUCCGGCUAGGAUGCUGGCGUAAUGGUCGUGAGCGA